rnacentral:rRNA from 1 species
UACGUAGGGGGCAAGCGUUGUCCGGAUUUAUUGGGCGUAAAGAGCGUGUAGGCGGCUUUACAGGUCCGUUGUGAAAACUCGAGGCUCAACCUCGAGACGCCGGUGGAAACCGUAAGGCUAGAGUCCGGAAGAGGAGAGUGGAAUUCCUGGUGUAGCGGUGAGAUGCGCAGAUAUCAGGAAGAACACCCGUGGCGAAGGCGGCUCUCUGGGACGGUACUGACGCUGAGGCGCGAAAGCGUGGGGAGCGAACAGG